AAGGGGUUAGUAGGCUUAUUGGGGAAGGAAGGACUUAAGGUAGUUGAACUGCCUGGGGAACAAUGCUAGUAAUAAGGAAUAGUAUCAAGGGCCAAAUAAGGCUUUAGGCAAUACAGGUUUAAAACAAAAGUAACUUAAGAAGGCAGGACAAGAAUAAUGGGAAGGUGGAAGAGGGAAGUCUUCCUACAGAAAGUGGAAUUUGAGCUAGAGUUAUAAAGAUUUGCAUCAGCAAAGGCAGGGGAGGUUAGACCUAGACUGCCAAAGAGCUGGAAGGAAGAGACGAAUGGGCACGGGAAUGACGCCAUCAAUGUGGAUAGCAAGGCACAGUCGGGGGACUAAUACGAAUGAAACAUGGUUUGUCCAUCAAAGGGGCAUGGGGAAGCAACUGUCUGUUAAUCCACAAGCAAUGGAAACAGUAUUGCCUGAAGAAAAUGACUAAAAUGAUAGCCAAUGAAUACCAAUAUAAGCUGAUGCUUUUAGGGAAGAGCUGCUGCAGAAGCACAGACAAAUCAUUGGAGAGUACCUUGUGAAAAUGGCUGCAGAUCACUGAGGACAUUACUCAGAGUCUUGUUCUGGAAGCACCCCAGAGAAGCAGGUUGGGACCACAAAAGCUUUACCUUAGAAAGUAGAUUGACAUCUGGAGAAAAAUUGGACCUAUCUACUUCUUUUAUGAGGGCAGGAACUGAGUGACUGUCUUGCUUUUCAGGUAUCCACAUCACCUAACACAAUGCCUGGCAAAUAAGGAGGCACUCAAUAAAUCUAAUUGUUCAAUAAAUUCAAUGAAUGUCAAAUCUCAUUAAGAGAGAGAGAUUAGUGAGAUUGAGUGAUUGAUUUUGAGCUAGUGGAAAAAAAUGCAGGGGAAGAUAGCCAGCAAUACUUUGUAUCUAUGUACCAACACUAUGCUACUUGUUUUACAUAUAUUAUUUUACAUAUAUUAUCUUUUUAAAAAAUAGUCUUGAUAAACCUCAUUUUUUUAUUCCUACUUUACACUGGAAGAUAAAGCUCAAAGAAAUUACAGAUCACCCCAGGAUCACACUGUUAGUAAGUAUCAGUGUGAUGGUUUUAAACCAGUUGUGUUGGGCUCCAAAGAUAGAGACUUUACACUACACCAAGUUUUAGAAGAGCUCAGUGAUUUCAAAAAGGAGCAGAUUUACUCUCACAAAGCAGUAGUUCUCUAUCUCUAGAAAUUAUAGUAGCUUUAGAGUUGGAAGGGAGAUUAGUGAUACGCUUCAACUGCCUCUUGCAAUGGAUGAGGGAUUGAAGUCAAGAGAAGUAGAGGCAUGCUCACAUGCAUGGCAAGAAUGGGGCAGCAUAAAGUUGUAUGCCUUCUUGCGUACUGCCAGCACACUUUCAAUUAUUUACCGAAUAUCUGUCUUUCACACCAAAUAAUAAGUUCGAUCUAUGAAGUCAGGUGCAUUAAUUAUCUUAUUUAUUUAAUAUCUCAGGACAAACCUACAUAAUAAUAUAUCAAUAAGUAUUUAAUAACUGCAUAGAUGAAUGACUGGAAACAGUACUUGAACCCAGGUUUCCAAACCUGAAAUGUUUGAACAGAAGGUUUGUGAUCCUUUAUCAGUGGUGUUCUGUGUUAGGUGUGACUUGUACUAGAUAGUCACCAUGGUCCCUUCCAGAAGUAACAUCUAUAAAAUUAAAUCAGCCUGGGAGUCUCUGAUCUUUAUGCCUACUGCACCCUAUCUAUACUUCUAUUUUAGCAUUUAUUGAAUUGCACUGAAAUAACUGUUUACAUUCGUAUUUUUCUUACCAGAGUAAAAGUAUAUGCGAGUUGAGACUGUGUUUUUAUAGUGGUUUCCA
rnacentral:lncRNA from 10 species